GGGGCAGUGGCUCAAUGGGAGAGCGUCCGCUUCGCAUGCGGAAGGUUGCCGGUUCAACUCCGGUCUGCUCCA
rnacentral:tRNA from 1 species